UACGGAGGAUGCAAGCGUUAUCCGGAAUUAUUGGGCGUAAAGCGUCCGCAGGUGGCAUAUCAAGUCUGCUGUCAAAGACCGAAGCUCAACUUCGGGCAGGCGGUGGAAACUGGUAAGCUAGAGUACGGUAGGGGUAGAGGGAAUUUCCAGUGUAGCGGUGAAAUGCGUAGAGAUUGGAAAGAACACCAGUGGCGAAGGCGCUCUACUGGACCUGUACUGACACUCAGGGACGAAAGCUAGGGUAGCAAAUGGG
rnacentral:rRNA from 1 species